UGAGGCCCAGAGAGGCAGAGCGACUUGCCCAAUGUUACCCGGCGAGCCAGGGUCCGAUCUGUGAUUCCAGAUUUGUUACCGGGGGAGCCUGAUCCUGAAAUGUGUGUUUCCAAAUACCCCCAGAGCCCCAACCCCGGGCCGGAUUGUGGGGCCCAGGGACGAUCUCUCAACCUCUCUGAGUUUCCAUUUCCUCAUCUCCUCCACAGGGGGCUUGAGGCCCGUCCUAGCACUAGGCACAGACCUGGCUUGGGAGUGCCAAGCUCCUGGCCCUUGUGGGAACUGAUUCUACCCAGGAGCCGGUGGAGGCUGCGAGCCCCGUGACUCCAAGCUCCAUCUGGGUGGAAGGCCUGCUUCAAAGAUCCCUCCAAGGAAAGGCCCUGCCCCCGCCGCCUGGAGCUUGCUACCUGCCCUGGUGCCUACCAGACCUGAUUGGUGAGACAGUUCCUCUUCAGGGCACGCCAGGCCUGACUCAGCCAGGCGGGGUGAGGGUGCCCCCGGCAGCUGCUCAAACAGACAAGCUUGGCGGGGACUUUGGCCUCCUCUGGCUGCACGGAGGAAUAGGAUAUGGGGACAGUGCCUGUGUACCAGGGAGGAGGGGACUUCCCUUGUCCAGGAAUGACAGGCUCAGCCAGCUCAGGACCCUCGCCCUGCCCUCAGCCCUUCUGCCCACAGGCACAAGGAAAGCCUUCCUCUUGCCACACAGAGAGAUGGCCCAGCCGCCGGAUGCUUGUCUGUCUGGAUGCUUGUCCAUCAUCCCUGGAAAUCACUCCUGUCUCUCUCAGUGAUACCUCUGUGAAGUUUGCUCACCUUCCGGUGCUCUUACCACAUCCCCACGUUUGGGGGAGGGAUUCACCAGGGUCCCCAGACACCCAAGGGGUUUGCAAAUAGAAUUCCGGAGCUCUUCCUUAGAAGGAAAAACGUGAAUAGCACUUGCUCCCCCUUCUUCUACUCGUUGGAGCUGCCCUGUGCCUUCCUGUUUAAUGUGUUAAGAAAGAUGCCCACCU